rnacentral:rRNA from 1 species
UGGGGAAUCUUGCACAAUGGGGGAAACCCUGAUGCAGCGACGCCGCGUGAGCGAUGAAGCCCUUCGGGGUGUAAAGCUCUUUCGGCAGGGAAGAUGAUGACGGUACCUGCAGAAGCAGCUGCGGCUAACUACGUGCCGGCAGCCGCGGUAAUACGUAGGCAGCAAGCGUUGUUCGGAGUUACUGGGCGUAAAGGGUGUGUAGGCGGUUCUUUAAGUUUGGUGUGAAAUCUCCCGGCUCAACUGGGAGGGUGCGCCGAAUACUGAGGGACUCGAGUGCGGGAGAGGAAAGUGGAAUUCCUGGUGUAGCGGUGAAAUGCGUAGAUAUCAGGAGGAACACCGGUGGUGUAAACGGCUUUCUGGACCGUAACUGACGCUGAGACACGAAAGCGUGGGUAGCAAACA